AGUGUUUCUCUAAAUUAUUUUUUUCAUUAACAGAGAUGAUAUCAUCAGCAUAAAUGAACUAGUGCUUGCAAUUCGACGGAUACAAAAGAUAUCUGAUGACACUAGAUUAGAGAGGAUAGUUGAUGUCUUGGAAAAGAUGGAUAUUGAUCAUGAUGGUGCUGUUGAAGUUGAUCAUGUCUUGAAGGUAAUAGAACUGAUUGGAACGGAUAAUGUGAAGCUUACUUCUAAGCAAAUAGAUGAAAUUAUUGAAUUGCUUUCAAAGGAAGAUAUGCUGGAGCUUGAGGAAAAGAUACAAAAGCAAAAGCAAGCAGAAGAAAAUGUGUCUUCUAACAGCCAAACACAAGAAAGAACUUAAUUUUACAAUUUAAAUAAGAGUGUCCAUUAUUACUAAAGUUAUAUGUGCACAUUAUGAAAAAUGAUAACUUUGGGCAGGGGUAUUUAUUAAAGCACAGUCAGUGACCAUUAUGUGUAGUAUAUAAAGCAUUUUAAUAUUUAUCUGGCAUUUUGUAUAUAUUUGUCAAAUACUGUCAUAAUAGCAGCAAACAUGUAAUUUGUUAUAUUUUUAUAGUGGCAAACCAUCUUCUUAAGGAUUUAAUGUACAUUCAUGAAGUGGAAGAUGUAGAUUUAUAAUUCAGCCAUCAGUAUGUAAUGUUUUGCGCAAUGUAUGUUAUAUAUGUACAAAUCAUUCUUUUUUGUAAAUUUGAGAAAGUGAAAUAAAUAGUAUUGUGUGUGUA